rnacentral:lncRNA from 1 species
UUUUCUAAGAUGAUAAUAGUUGAGGGGUGGCUGUAAUUAUCUAAACAGGAGGAGGUUUCGUAAUUUGACCAUAACUCAGGGGUGGAGAGAGAGAGAGAGAGUACCUGAAGAUCAAGACAUUGCUCCCAAUCAGAGGGCAAAGGGUUCUUAAGUUGAUGAAGAUCAACAACACCAUUAUUUGCACUGGCUUCUUCUGUACUAGUGUUCCAUUUUCUCUUAUUCAUAGCUGCAUGAAAACCGACGCCACUCUCUUCGCCUCUGUCUUCGUCGAUGCUUCUCUUCCCAUCCCUAUAUCGCCCUCGAGCAAGAGACAGUUGCGUAAACUCCAUAAAUAUAUAUUAAUUAUUUACUAUGAAACUUUUAGUACCAAAUAAAAAAUAACCUUAAAAGUGAAAAGUUAAUAGUGUUUGUAGUUUUAAGGAUGCAAGAAGAGAAGUGUGUGUAUGUAUAUAUUCUGGCAUGCAGUUAUGAGCUGAUGGGAGGGGCUUAUUAUAAAUUUGUAGUAGUAUGUAUUUUUUUUUUUCUUCUUCAUCAAACGCAUUUAAAGAAGGGCAGCCCAUGCAUUAAAUAUUGACAAGUAGAUAUC